UUAUUGUAGGGUUUCAGCAAAAUGAUCGUUUGGGCCGACUGAAAGAGUUUGAUCAGACUGAUAUUGAUCUUCGGUUCAGACAACUAGGCACUUGAGCAGACUGAAAGAAUUCGAUCAGAUUAACAUUGAUCUUUUAGGUUACAAUAGUAUGGAUCAAAUAGAAUCGGCCAAGAAGAACAGAUUAAAGAGAAAAUUAA